rnacentral:misc_RNA from 1 species
UACGUAGGUGGCAAGCGUUGUCCGGAAUUACUGGGCGUAAAGCGCGCGUAGGUGGUGAAGUCAGUCAGAUGUGAAAGCCCAGGGCUUAACCUUGGAAUUGCACCUGAUACUGCUUCGCUAGAGUGUGGUAGAGGGGUGUGGAAUUUCCUGUGUAGCGGUGAAAUGCGUAGAUAUAGGAAGGAACACCAGUGGCGAAGGCGACACCCGGGACCAAUACUGACACUGAGGUGCGAAAGCGUGGGUAGCAAACAGG